UGCAAUUGUAACCCAAGUCCGGUGGGGAGUUCAAAGGCGUUGUCCAUGAAGAUGUAGUGAAGAAACAAGUCACUCCUUAAGCCUUUCUUGAUGGCCUCUCCAACCUGUGGGUCCAACAGGGCACAGUAACUACAAGAUUGUAAGGAGCCUGGGAGAUCUAAAAAGAGCACUGGCUAAUCUCAUUGCCCUAUCAUGGGGCCUGGCCGACUUACCAUCUGGGGGAUCCCCUGCAGAGUGCGAACACCAUUCAGCAGAAGCUUUCCCAGGAGCUGGAGGUCAUGGAGCCUGACAAAGCCAAGCUCCUCUCCCAGGAUGCGGAGGUAGGCUCUGGCUUCUGGGAAUUCUCUGGAUUUCAAAUCUUUGAUCAGUUUCUCAAUAUUGAGCAUAAUUCCAUUGACCAUGUCCUGGGAUUUUAACAACAAAAUGCCUAAUGAGAUGUCAGCAUUGUCAGACAUUUAGAGUCCUGAUGUGGGGCCCACCUGCUGGUGCCAUGAUGGGCUAAACACAAGUAUUCAAGGUGGGGAUCUAGGGAAGCCACUGAAAUCAGACUCCCACCUUUUACUGAAAAAUAGAUAGCUCCUCCAAAUUGAGAUGAAAAACAACAACGACCCUGAGGUCUUACCACGGAUAGCAAUGCUUCCACACUGUUCUUAAUUUGAAUAAUGCAGGCAUAGGAAGAUGUCAGGAUUCAUAGGGCUAACCAGGAGUAGAAGACUGUCUAUCCCUCACCCCUUCCCAGCUUACCCCUUUCUUCUCUGAUCAGGGAUGAAUACUAGGGGUUUCUUGAGAAAAUGCAGCUGCUGUAUAAAUUGGCCAAAUGCUUUAAAAACACACCAUCCUAGACAAGUUCUUCUUAGAGUUAAGAAGAAUUCUAUAGAUUGAUGCUUAGUCAUUGAGAAAGAAGAGAGUGUUGAUAGACCCAGAACACAGCAAAGAGCCUCAGCCUCAGGUGGAGGUAGUUAAAUUACAAGGUGGAGGUGGGGCCAUCUGUGAACAUCUAGGAGUAAAUUAUUGCCCUGUCUUUCAAACUGAAAUGUGCAUACAUGUCACCUAGGGAAUGUCCUUAAGAUGUAGGUUCAGAUUCAGUAGAUCCUGGUGAGGCCUCAGAACCUGCAUUUCUAACACGUUCUGAUGUGAUGCAAUUGCCUGAACCACACUUUGGGUAAGGCAAAAAAUUAAAGAAUAAGAAACUCCAGGUUAUUCAAUCUGCUUUCUACUCCUUAAGUGGGGUCUUAUGCUGGCUUCAAAGUGGUUUGCUCCCACUAGCUAGUACACUGAUAUGAGUAAGAGCCAAAAAAAGCAGUUAAUUAUGAAAAUAUGAAUUCAAAAAUUGUAAUAGUAUCUGCUUAUUGAUCAAUCAGUACCAGUCAGGCACUCUGCUUAGCAUUUUACAAACUUUACUUCAUUUAGUUUUUAAAUCACCCUGGGAGGCAUGGAUUAUUAGCACACUCUGGGGAUGUAGAAACAGACAUAAUAUCAAACAGCUUUUCUAGGUAUGCAGUUUGAAGACAGUGUGGUGAGAAUUCAAACCCAUGCCCCCGAGUUUACACUCUUAAUCAUCAUGUGAGAGCGCCUCUAAUGAGUCUGGCCGCUGGGCACAUUGAAUAUCCAGGAGGCUUAUAAUUACAGAGGACAUAGUCCUUAUCCCCAUAGGACUGGUUAAUAACAGUCGCAACUGUCACUUCAGCUAGACAGUUCCUUGAUGACUUCUAGGCUUGGAUAAAAUGUUUUCACAUUGAGACCGAAAGCCUUCCUUGAGGGAGUACUUAACAAAAACAUACCUGCUCACGUUUAUCAUCUUUGGUAUAGCCAAAAUGGUCCACCAAGACCUUGGAGACAUGAUCAGGAACUUGGCCAUCAACCCAGUACAAAGCCUUGUUGACACUGUCUGGGAAAAAUCCUUGCUUUCCAAAAAGGGCUUCCAAUGUUGGUUCAAAGCCUUUUCCUUCCAAACCAAUCUGAGAAAGAAAAUCAGGCGAGAAAAUGCCAUCAGGUUUCUUUGUUGUAUGUCAGCCUCUAAUUCCUCUCUUUAUGUCCAUUUAAUUAAACAAGUAUUUAAUGAAUACUACAGGGUAGGAGCUGAACUUAGCACUCCACAGGAGUUGUGGUAUUUAAUUCUUACUAGAAUCUUGAAAGGCAGAACUUAUUAUUUGCCCUUUUCCAGAAGAGGCAGCUAAAGUUCAGAGAGGAUAAAUAAUUAAACAAAAGAUUCGGAGUGAGAAUGAAUUUGGGGUUUGAGCCAGAUUAGUCUGAUUACACAGCCCAUGCGUUUUCUUGGGUUUUGGUUCUAAGGACUUCUCUGAGACAUCUGCAUUUCCAUUACUACUACAGAGUCAUGCCUCAGGUGACCUCUAGCUGGAAGGCAGGGGGGCAAGGGAGGUGGGAAACAAGAAGCCCUCAAACGGUUGGUAUGAAUGAACUGCCUGAAUAUAAUUCCUCCCCAGGCUGCCUCACGGCUCCCUCAACUUCCUAUUUGUGGUGUUGUAUACAACAGGAGAGAGGACGUAAGCCUCUUCUUAGUAUCACACAUACCUCAAAGAGGUCCGCUGGAGCAAAUCCAAAGACAGUGAGGGUUGUUUUCAGCAUGCUUUCUUUAGGAAGGUAAUUAUUUGGAUCAAAUAUAAGAUUUCCUUCAAUUUUGGCUGAGACCGGAUCAAGUGAUGGAAGGGAAACAGAUUUGGAGAGGUGGUAGUUCCGGGAAAAUUUUGUGAAGUCCAUGAUGGUUGGGAGUUGAGAUCCUUUCAAAGCAUCUUCCACUAAGCUUUUCAAGCUAGAUGGAAAGAAGGAGUGUUAUUUUUAGCUUACAUGUCAUAUUACUAAUCCAUUGUCUGUCCCACCCCAAGGAAAUAGGGAUUGCCAAUUGCUACUAAAAGAUUUGGGUUUCAUUUGCUCAAGAGCUUGGCUCAGGUCUGAUGCACUUUUGCAUGAAUGUUGCCCAGGAGAAAGAACACUCCAUAAGGGUAGGCAGUGGCCUUUCGGAAUGAGGUUUAGAAUUCUAGCACUUUGUUUCAGAUGGGGGAACAUUACUCUUACUUACUCUUUGAUAUACAGUUCUUCUGAGUUUAAGAUGUUGGUGAUGUGGGAAGCCACAAAGUUCUUCACUUGUUCAUUCUGUUCCCGUGGGAGAAACUGGACAAUUUGAUUAAUAUCUGACUGGGAAGGGCUCCUCAUCAGCAUGAGAUAGGCAGCCAGUCGCUUAUCCCCUGGAGAGGCAUCACUGAGGAAAACCUGAAGAAGGACUUCCCGGACCUGUAGCCAAAAAAGGAGACUAUUACCACUGUCCUUUGGUCAGAACACAGAACAUGCCUGGCAAACACUGGUGGGGUCUGCUAGCGGUUUAUUACGCGCAAGUCGAAUUUCUUUCUGAUAACUUUUCAAAUGCUGGUACUGAAUCUUCUCACCAGUAUCCCUCAGAACAACAAGCUCCAAGGAAGGGUCUCAGAAGACACGUGUCAAAUGCAUGUUGCAUUCAACUAUAUUAACAUACUCAAGUUGUGACUUGAUGAAGGGAUGCUACUAGGUGAAAGUAAAGUUGUUUUAACACAAAUUAUUUCAGUGUGGGAAUAAAGGUGGGAAGGGGUAGUGAGAGUGUGGGGUAAAUAAAUAAGGCAUUUUCCAAAACUCUGGAGUCAUUUCCACCCAAAGUAGGGCCAGGUCGACAAUCCUAGUUUGGGAAGACUGGGGAAAUCAGGCAUGCUUUCCUAAGAUGAGUGACGGUUGAUCUGGUAGGGGGGAAGCAUGGAGCUAAAGUCUCAUAUUCUGAGUGCUAGAGUAGCAGCAUGGUCCAAUAUUUCUCUCUUGUCCACAGUCAGGUCAAUAGGCUUGCUGAAAGUGGCAAUUAGAAAGCAGUAAAAUAAAGUAAGCUGAAUGAGGAGAUUUAGAAUCUCAUUCCAAGUCCUUGUUAAUCUGAAUUAACUUUUUACAUUUAGACAUCCUCUGUGGACUUAACCUCAUCUUUAAGUUCCAUUUUCCGCAGGGCCUGGAUGGCAGCCUUCUGAAUCAGCAGUGAUGGCUCUGAACUUUGGAUACAUUUCAGGAUCGAAGACGUGAGUCUUGGGGAUACUGUCUCCAUGGUUCUGCCAGUAUUUCCAAUGACCUGCAUUGAAAAGAAAUGAGGGGGAAUCAGGGUGCAGAAAGAGAAGUAGGGGGUAUCCAGGAAAAUGCUUCUGAAAUGAUGUAUAUUAUACAAAAGACCAAAAGUACCCUCAGAAUCAAGUAGGUGUGAUCUUCAUUCCCAGUGCAAUCAUCGCGAAUCUGUUCCAACAGGUAAUCAGCAAUGUCCAGCAGGGCCUGGGUCACCACAGGGUUUGUCUCAUGAUAGCUACGGAAUAAGAGGACUCAGCAAGCAUAGCUAGGUUUACCUUAACAAACUUGUGUGUGCAGAUUUCUUAUUUCGGGGCUUUACUCUCAAAACGGCCAGUGGAAAAACAGUGUACGCAUAAGAGUCUGGAAGUGGAGGGUAAGGUAUGACCUUAGUACAGAGAUGUAGGGUCUUCCUCAACUCCUGCAAGGAGGGCCAGUGUGAAACUCACUUGUUGACCACGUGACCCAGAGCAUAUAAAGUGGUCCGGCUCUGCUGCUCCUUUGCUGUGCUGAAGAUCUCCUGCAGCCUCUCGGCCGAGGGCUCUGGCAUCAGGGCCACCAGGUAGGUCACAACAUCUGUCAGAAGGGGGUUGGCCUUCUCACUUCUCAGCCACUGGAGGAUGUGAGUGUAACACUGGGGCUGUCCACACUGAAUCAAAGCUUGUAAGGUGACGGGGCUGAGAAAGAAAGAGCAGAGGAUUACGUAGAUCACCUUUAGGCAGCUCCAUUAUCCUUGGCUCAUGAUGCUCCUCUGUCAGGAGUGCCCUCAUCUCCUGUAUUCACUCUCCAAAUCUGACCAUCUUCCGAAAUCCAACUUGUAUCCCAGGAACCAGGAAGCCUUCCCUAUAAGCACUAUCCCCUGGGGAAGCACCAUGGAGGAAAGUCUGAAGAAGGACCCCAGAUUUAUCACCAAAAGAGGACAGUUAUCCCCGUCCUUCAUUCAGAACAUAGAACAUGCCAGGCAGACACUGGCAUGGCCUCAUUUUGGUCCUCAGUCCCUCCUCUGACAUUCCCAGCACUUAGAGCCAGUGCCUUGAAGUAUAGAGAAAUCACGGUAUUACUUUGUUUGCCUGAAUUCUCUCUCCACUAGCCUAGGCUUCCAGAGGGCACAGAUGUCUUUUUCUCUCAAACUUUCCAAGGUGCUCACCAUAGAAUGAGGGAUUAGAUUAGUAGAUAUCCAUCAAAAUGUGCGAAGUAUUUCCCUCCUAUAUUAACACACAAAUGCAUAUCUGCCUUGAAUGCAGUGUGUGUGUGUGUGUGUGUGUGUGUGUGUGUGUGUGUGGCCCAUGGAAGUCUAAGCAUGUUAGCUGAUAUUUCUCUAUCCAGCAAACAUUAACUGAUUGACUAGUUGAUUAGCUGGAUUGAUAUUUUAAUGGCCCCUGAGGUUUUCUGCUUGGCCAACGUUUGCAAGUUCAGCCAGAUACCAUAGGUCAUACGAAAGAUAUGGUUGCAACCAUUAAAGAAAUACCUGGACACCUGGAUCAGCUUUGGCAAGAGGGAUGUGAUUGCCUCAUUGUUGAGGCCUCUCAGCUCAGUAACCAGUUUAUUGAAGAGGUUAGCUCUCUGGGCAUUCUGGUCAGAGACGUGUAAUGUUUGCAGUUCCUGGAGAGUCUUCACAAUGGCCUCGGCCUGCUUUGGGGGUGAUGUGGAUUUGGUGAUCUCAAAGGCCAGACCCACCUCCUCGGUACCUGGGAGGAGGAAAGCGUCAAAGGGAUUCCUGCUUAUCUACAUUUCAACCACCUCUUGGUCUCCUACAAACUAGAAAGUAGGGAGGUAUCAGCAAAGAAGAAAAGAAAACUAUACUGUACUCGAUGCCUAUUAUGUAUCUGUCUCUGUGCUAGGUAUCUGACUUCAAUGUCUUUUACUUUAAUGCAUUUGCUCAUCAUACUACCCAUAUGGGUUACUAUUAUUCUUCAAUUUAAAGAUAAGGAAACUAAGAUCCAUAGAUGAGCAACUCACCUUGCCUAAGACCUCUCUGAGUGUAAGAGGCAGAGCCGUAAUUGAAUCUCAGCUUGUCUGAAUUUGAUAUCAGAUUACCUCUUUACUGAAAGGAAGCAGAGGAGGUGCUACGGCCGAGGCUAGACCCACUGGUGCUCACCUGCCAUCUUUUCCAGAGGGAUCAGCUUAUGACCCUCUGUGUCUCCUCCAUCACCCUGCUCUGACCCAUGCCAGCAUAUGUGUUAAUGUGGGAAAUGUGGGGGAAUAACAAGGGAAAUGUGGUACCAUGGAAAGAGUCCUGACUUAGAUUAGACCUGGGGGCUCAUUUUGCAUCACUUCUAAUAUUCAGAGACCUUGAGUAUAUCACAGACCUCUCCAUGUGCCAUUUUCCCCUCUGUAGAGUGGGUAUGAAAGUCCACACAGCUACUACCAUAGGUUAUGCAUUCCCUCAUUGUUCUCAAUGAGGGAAUGCAUAAGGCAGAUUUAAAUACAAGACAAAUGCAGGGCUAGAGUUGGACUAGAGAUCGCUAAGGUUCCUUCCUACUCUAAAGAUGGAUUCCUGACCCCAAACGCCCUCUCCCACUUCCCUACCUCAUCCAGGUUCCAGGCCUAAUUACUGGGUGUAUAAAGUUGUCAGAUCUACCAAAGGUAGACUUAGGAGGCCAAUUUCCUAUUUCUGAAAAUCUGGGUAGCUUUGGGACACUUCUCCUUUUCUUUUGUCCCAUCACCACUUGACAUUCUGAAAGGAACAUGCUUGCUCACUAGAGCGGCCCAGAGCCAGAACACCAAAGCCCACUGGACUCAUUAGUCAGCAGACAUUUCCUAGGACCCAGCAAGAAGCUAAGCCAUGAUACAUGGUGUUUCUUGGGCAGACUUCCCAGCCCUGGCAACUGUGUGCACCUAAAAUCUUACCUUCAUCAAAGAAGCGGCUGUUGAUCUUAGGUGUUUCUUCAAGUUUCAAUGUCUGUGUAACCUGUGCCAUCAUCCCAUACUUAUUCCUGGUAACAAAGGAAGUACAUCAUGUCAUGGAUGGUCAGCUCCUCAGAGCGCACUAUUCUUUUCAUGUUGAGUGUUUCCCCCGUCUCAUUUCUACCCAAAUCCUGCCUAUUUUUCAAACCAUUAAAUUCAGCCUCUUUGAUCCCCUCACCUGCCAAUGAACACCACCUACCUCCACCUGGACAUGCUAGCUGUCUUUCUUUCAGAAGGACAUCUGUACCUUACACCUGUCACCAGUCUGGAGUGCCCAGAGUAUAAGAACUAAUUUGUGCCUUGAAAUUCCUGUGUAUUACCCUCAGCACAAUGCCAAGAAUAAAGCAAUUACUCAGUAAAUACAAGUUGAUGGAUCAGGUUUCAAAAUGGAUUGGUAUAUCCAAGUCUCUGGUCCCCAUCUCAAAUCCUCCAUAAAACUGUUCUAACUCUUAAAGUCUGGGUCUCAGAUACGUUUUGUUGAUAUCAAAUUAUUUUGCAUGCCUAAGAUUUUCCUGCUGAAUUGUCUGUUUGCUUGAAAAUGGCGACAGGGAUGGGCUGUGCUCUGUAGCUCCUCAUAGCCUCCUCCAGGCACAGCCUCACCUACAACACGGCACCCGACAAGCACUCAUCUCACACCGACUCCAUUAAGUGAUGAAUCAGGGUGCAGAAGGUAACCUACUUGUAGGAAAAAGGCAGGAACACAUGUUGCUCCUUACAGAUGGCUUCUGACACAUGCUUCUUCUUGGGGUCCAGAGUGUACUGGCAGGACUGGUUGCUGCUAAUCAGAGUUGACAAGGGGCCGAUCUGUGAAUGGGAUCGGGAAAAGCAUUUUGAUCAGUUCCUGAAGCUUGAACCUGAUUCUUCUACAAGGGACAUUUACCUUCGAGGAAGAUGGGAGAUGGGAGUUCUGCACCACUAGAUAAACUCAGUGAAAGAAGGGAACUUAGUACUUGACAUUGAGACAAAAGGAUGCAGCAACUUGGCAUACGCCAAGCUGAGUCAACCUGUACUCUUCUUAUUCCACCCCAAUGGACCUCUCAUCCUGUACAAAGUGUAUAUAACCUGGUAUUGUAUGCAUACUCACCCACUGCACAUUAACACUCGACAAACUACUGCUUCUUAAGUUUUCUUUGCCUAGAAGCCUGUCCUUAAGGCUCUCUUGCACUUUUAUAUCCUUUGUGUCUUUCAGGUUCAUGCUCCACAUCCUCCACGAAUCUUUGGGUCUAGACUGAUUGAUGCUUGCCCACCAUUUCUUCUAAGUGGAUCUACCAACAGCUCUGCCUAGUGAGCUGUUUGAAUAGUUGCUUCUCCUUCCUGGUUGGAGUUAGGAUUGCUUGUCUGUACUGCUCAGUGUAUAACUUUAUCAAGUAUGCCAUUUAUUGUCCUUUAUUGGCGUGUGUAGGAAUCUUGUUCCUGUAUUAGACUGUAAGUACCCUGAGGGGAAAAAUCCAUGGUUCAUCUGCCGCUGUCUCUGACCCUCAGUGCUGCCUAGAGUAAGUCUGAGCAUACAGCAGGUGCUCAAGAUAAGCCAGUGCGUUGGCCUCUUUUGAUUGUGGCCCUUGUUGUCAUCAGAUGCCCUAUUUUUGGCCCCAAGGACAAUGACCAGGAACACUGCCAAGCAUGGCAGUGAUUGCUCAAGACCUUCCAAUUUACUGAGAUAGGCUGUGAUUCACGUCCCGCAAGAUAUUACAAGGCAUUGGGCAAGCUCUGGUAAUGUGGUGCUGCAUGAGCCCUGUUGAGGUGACAGCAGAGAAGGUUAAUACUAAGGGGGUGGCCUAGACAAGAAGCAGAGGGGCCAGGUAUUGAUCAGGGUUGUAUAUGGGAUGAAAGGAAAUGACACUAGAAUGGUCUUGGUAAUGUCACUCCAUGGGAGUGAGGGAGAGGACAGCAGAACACAGGUCUUGGGGCUUCCUCAGAGGUCAGAUGCCUAGAGGUGGGGGGACAUCCAGUUCUCUUACAGGAAAGAGUGGCAAGUGGCUUUGCUGCCCUACAUUAAGCCCUAGAACCUUCUCAUGGAUGGACAGUCAUUAUUCUCCAUCGAUGGCAGAAGGUUUGGUGCCAGUGACAGAAUAACGGCAAGAAAGACAGAGCUCUGGGCUGACAGUCAGGAACCUGAUUCUUGUCUUGACUUAAUAACAGGCCAUGUGGCCUCUAUCAGUCCUUUCCUGGUUUGGUCCUCAGUUUCCUGCUGAAAUCUAUAUGAAGAUGAGGCUGGGUUGGAUCUUCUCUGAGAUUCAUACCUGCUCUAACAUUCCAGAAUUUUAAUAACCCAGAGGACUGUGCUCAGUGCAAGGAGCCAUGUGGGUGUGAAACUUACCAUGCCUUUGAUGAGAGCAAGUGGGCUAACUCCUGUGCUAAUGGGCUUGAAGCGAUCACACUUCUCCAGGUUUCUUUCGAUGGAGAUUCCUGUUGCCACAUUUGCCUUCUUUGUUUUAACAGUUAAGUCACUGGAACAGUUUCCAUACACAGUAUCCUAUGCGAGCAGAAGAGACAACAGGUUUAUCCGAUGGAUGUGCAAAAGCAGCCUUAGGUGCGUCAGAGGGGGUGGGAAAGGAGCCUUGGAGAAAAGGCAGGAGCCAUAUGGACAGGGAGGGGACUUUCUUCCUCUUAGGCAGAGUGUGGGCAAUGCUGCUGCCUGGCUGGCCAGAAGCAGAGUAAGAAAGCCAGUUAAGAGUGGUUCUGGUUCUGAUGCACUCCAGCCUGGCCUCCCAGGACCCAGCUAACUCUGACUUUUUAUUCUGUGCUCUCAGAGCAUUUUCUCUAUUGCUCAUUUACGGCAUGUAUUCCAAUCUGCCUUGUAUUUAAUGUAUCUUGGUUUUCUCCCCAGACUGCGAGAACUCCCUGAGGAAAGGCUUCUGCAGGAUACAUCUCUGUAUUCUCCAAGUGUGGUAUAGCAUAGAACUUAGAACUCAGUAAGGGCUCAGAAAUGUUCCCGGGACUCAAGUAAAUUGAAUUGUCUCUCAGAUUGAAACUUGAAAUUCUUAUGAGAGGCUGGCAACAGAUUCAAUUAUUUUCUGUGUUGAAAACACACACAGGCUUUACUUUGUGACACCAGGUGGGGAUAGAAAAAAAUCAAACAAAAGAGUAGGGAGGCCAGGACUCCUCAAAUACUGCUUUCAAAUGAAGCCAACUUGCUCAGCCUGUUCACGAGGAUCCACCAGUGAGCCCAGGAGAGAGGGGGAGCCUUGGGUACUGUGUAGCAAGCCAUGGAGCCACAUGAAUAACCCACUCUAUGUACACAGUGGGACCCGGCUGAAAUAUGUGAAGAGGAGUUCAAAGGGCCAGUAUCAUCCACUCUCUGAGCUCUCACCAGAAACAACACUUGCUCAUCCUCUUCUGUCUCUGGAGGAACCAGGAGGGCAGAAAUGAUGCCCCUUUUGAUGUUCAGGAUAUGUUUAGGCUCCUCCUUCUCUGGGUAAAGUAAAACUUGCUUCCCUUCAGGAAUGGCCAGCCUGAGUUCGUACCUGUUCCAGAGAGAGUGUGGUCACGGAAGUGUCUUUUCUCCACUGUGAGCCUGUUGGACCAAAGACACUGUUUGGCUUAGAGUAUCAAAACUGCACUCCAGAAUGCUUUCCUGAGAUGCCCACCUCCCUUGGCUCACCCACUGGGCUUCUCUCAUCAUGUUAAAUCUACCGUCCUGCAAUGCUGGUAUUCUAGAUAUGUAUUCCAAUGGCAUCUUGCAAACGAAUGGAAAAAUAAAUCUGGUUGGCAAAA